AUGGCACUUUACAAAUCACUGAGGCCUUUGUACUGCUUUCUCCAGAUAUUUUAGGCAUCCUUGAUAAUGAUAUUUGCGAUGUAAGCAACAGUUUACAACACAAAAGUAUCAGGCCACAACACAACAGCAUUUCUUGUUGUACACGUGUACCCUGGGAAAAUCAAAAUGGGAGAUGAAGACGACCCAAGUGUGAACCUGUCUGCUCCUCUGACAACCCCACAUCAGCCAAUCUCUUCCUGGCAGACCGCUCAACGCCAACCACUUGCACUCUCGCCAUGGCUGAAUGACAAAUGUCAUCUUUAAUCCUCUCAGCAGAGGCCUUCUGAUGAUGAGGCUAGUAUAUGGAAAUGAGGAGGGUCGGCGGCAGGCUGGUAACCAGACCCCGCUGUAAUAAGGAUGAAGAAUGACAAUUUGAAUUUGGAGAUUAAUGGAUUAUCUGGAAAGGGCUUGUCACAGUGCCACAGCCAAUGACCUUUUCAGAUUGACGGAUGACUCCAUUUUACCUGAACGAAUUCUCUGGUUCAAGGGACGGUAUGGCCACUCUCUCUUCCCUUUUGAUCUGAGAUUGAGAAAAGCUUAUUGGCAUGUAUUGGAAUGUCGGAGUGAACUGUGAAAAGAUAGAUUUUUUGGCACUAUAUCAGCCAUAAAGUUCGACAUAAGGAGACGGUAUUGUUUUAUCCACUGCUAGAAUUUCACAGAAAGGUCAGUAGUCAGUACCCAAAGGCUGUACAUGAUACUUGUGCAACGUUUACGUUGACUAUUGCUUUGCGUGACUGAAAAGAAGAGACAAUAUAAGGAGGAAGAGACAGACAGAAAGAGCCAAUCCCUUGUUGGAUGGCUUGUUUACUCUCUAGCAUGCGUUGGAAAAACAAUUCAAAUUACUAUUUAUUUUUUUAUUUUUUGCAUGGU